GCCCUUUCAAUUCAAACCGAAAGUGCCUAUAUCAGGGGUGCUGGUUCGCCAGCUAUGGCAAUAAAUUGUCAGUGUAAUAAACCUAUCGGACCCGGGGGCGGUACCCGGCGCCUCCACCCAAGCCCAUAAGGCUUAAAGCUUUGAGCCCAUAUGGGUUUCGGCGGGGGCGAAAUAGGAUCGACGAGGGCGUAAAGACUGUGCUUUUGCUCGGCAUUGUACCACCGUUAUCGGGCUAUCUCAGUAGUUGCAAAUGACAACACUGCUAUGGACAACGCUGUAGCUGCGUAAUGCGGUUCCGGUAGUCCACUAAGUCCUGUUGGUUAGCCCCUUCAGGCGGGGUUCGAAGGCACCUGGCAACAGAAGCCUUCACU
rfam:Labrenzia alexandrii DFL-11 scf_1101159010753 genomic scaffold, whole genome shotgun sequence.